rnacentral:lncRNA from 1 species
AUGCUAGAUCUAUUUUAUUUUGUUAAGGAGAAAGGGAUGCCUUGAUUGUCGUAUUGAUUUUCUUCUUCUUUUUGUUCCAAAAGAUUGAAACUGAAGAGCUGGAAGGAGGACAUUACAACAUCUCUUAUAUUUGCAAGAUGAAGCAGAAAGUCCCAUGCAGGAUGAUGCCUCUCUACAGUGGAUGAUGAAGGCAUUCUGGUUUGCAAACUCAGGAGAGGAACAAAGAACAGAUGUUGACGGGAUCAUAUCUAGAGAUGCGGGCCUACUACACUUCAUACGAGCAAGUGUGCUAAUAUACAUGAAGACUUGGGUUAUAUUUUUUUCUGAAAACUAGGCUACAACUUUAGUGAUGGAUGCAGAAGAUAUCUACACGAGACUACGUCUUAAAGAUGCCACCCUCAUAUAAUGAAAGAGGACAAUAGAGAUGGGUUUAAACUGGAAUAUUUACAUGAUA